GACGAACGCUGGCGGCGUGCUUAACACAUGCAAGUCGAACGGUGAAGCUCCAGCUUGCUGGAGUGGAUCAGUGGCGAACGGGUGAGUAACACGUGAGCAACCUGCCCCUGACUCUGGAAUAAGCGCUGGAAACGGCGUCUAAUACUGGAUACGAGAAGGGUCCGCAUGGGCACUUUCUGGAAAGUUUUUCGGUUGGGGAUGGGCUCGCGGCCUAUCAGCUUGUUGGUGAGGUAAUGGCUCACCAAGGCGACGACGGGUAGCCGGCCUGAGAGGGCGACCGGCCACACUGGGAUUGAGACACGGCCCAGACUCCUACGGGAGGCAGCAGUGGGGAAUAUUGCACAAUGGGCGAAAGCCUGAUGCAGCGACGCCGCGUGAGGGAUGACGGCCUUCGGGUUGUAAACCUCUUUCAGCAGGGAAGAAGCGAAAGUGACGGUACCUGCAGAAGAAGCACCGGCUAACUACGUG
rnacentral:rRNA from 1 species